CUUUGCAUGCUUGAUAUACUAUUCCCUUUAAGGAGAGCAUGGUAUACUCCAUGCGCUCACUGCUCUGCUCUCUCCUAGAUUACCUCUCGCCUCUAGGUAGCUAGGUAAUUACACAUGUUGGGAAGGUUUGUCUACAAAAUCAGUUUGUUUUUCAGCUAAUAUGUGUUGUUGACUUGUUUCUUAUUAUUUUCAGUUUUUGUAUUUUAAUAAACAGUCUCCUACUUAUAUGAAAAUCAAAUCUGAUCUGAUUUGUAAAUAAAUACCCUUAUAAAGGAGAAUAAUAAGGAGGCAGUGAAGAAGAAGAAGCAAAAGAACGGAAAAGACCCAUCGCAAGAUGUUAUCAAUGCACUGCAUCUUCCUUAAAUUUGUAACUUGAUACUUUAUUUGGGUAUGUCCACUGUCUAGAAAAGAAUUCAAGCAGAAUUCUCUUUUUAUCUCACUAUGUUAUUUUACCUGAUCAGAGUUUUUCGUAAGAAGACUACAGUGUAUGCACAAAAUUCUUUAUGCCAGAGAGAGGUCAAGUCUUGUGGAUUGGACAUUUACGGAUUUUCCUUAACAAGAUCAGUUGUAGAUUGGUGGUACGAAGUUUAAAGGCUCUUGAUUGUGUCUCAAAGCUUUAAUUAUCCUUGUUGAAAUUCUCUUUAAUAAGUGAAUAUUGCCUUUUACUCAUAUAAUGUAUGUGAUUUCUGAUUGCAAUGUGUAUGCGGUCUAUCUUCAUUGAAGUUUAAGUGCUUAUAUAAUAGCAAACCAAGCAAUUUUUAUUCCUAGAUAAAAGAAGAAAAGUUGUUUUUAACUGAAAUUAGGGUUAAUAUUUACUAUAAGGAGUACGUGAUAGUUCCUAAGUGAGGCAACUAUGCAUUUCCUCUUCUUUCUGUUUUCUUCAUAGAGGAUCAACUUUUGUCAAUAUUAGAAGUCAAAAAAAUGCACCUUUCAACAAUUUGAAAGUUAUUUUAAGACAUUAGUUAGUGGGAAAAAAAACCUAUAGAAUAAAACAUUUAGCAUUUUCAUUUCCAGAUUUUAAUUUUAGAGAUAUUAUUGUGUGGGGUAAAAUUUGGCCCGCCCCGUUUCCGUCUAAGCAGACACUUCCCUCAUAAUAAAGCCGUCCUCAAAUCGCGUGGCCUCAAGCAAGGACGUCCCAGUCAACUAGGUGGAGGAACGAUGUCGUUUAAGGCUUGGCUUCCUUCGUACGAGGAAGCCACUGACUUUUGUACUUUUCUUUUGAUUAUUUCGAGGAAGGUCUCCUAAUAGAUAAAGAGACAUUCGCCUUUGUAAGGGGAGAUGUGCAUU
rnacentral:lncRNA from 1 species